rnacentral:rRNA from 1 species
AUUGAACGCUGGCGGCAGGCCUAACACAUGCAAGUCGAACGUGUGGCGGACGGGUGAGUAAUGUCUGGGAAACUGCCCGAUGGAGGGGGAUAAAUACUGGGAACGGUAGCUAAUACCGCAUACCAUCGGAUGUGCCCAGAUGGGAUUAGCGAGUAGGUGGGGUAACGGCUCACCUGGGCGAAGAUCCCUAGGUGGUCUGAUAGGAGGACCAUCAACACCGGACCUGAGCAACGGUCCAGAGCCCUACGGGCGUCAGCAGUGGGGAAUAUUGCACAAUGGGCGCAAGCCUGAUGCAGCCAUGCGGCGUGUCUGAAGAAGGCCUUCGGGUUGGAAAGUACUUUCAGCGAGGAGGCGUUACUCGCCGACGAAGCACCGGCUAACUCCGUGCCAGCCGCCGCGUUAAUAC